ensembl:lncRNA
CACUGGGGGACGGUAAUCCUAUGAUGAACCGUCAGGGGUUUUCAAAGUAAAAAUAGACAACACAAGUCCAUUGAGAAGUACAUGUUUUCCUUUUUGCCCUUUACCAUCUGUUUGCAGGUAUGUGCCCACCCUGUGUGGACAUGACCAGCUUGCUGUCAUGUGAUCCACAACCAGGUUCAAAAGCUUAUGGUCCAUUGAAAAGGACACAGUACAGAAUUCCCUACUGACCAGAGAUAGAAGCUCACAUCACUGGAUCUGGGUAAGGCUACUGGCUUUUAAAAAGUCUAUGUUAUAGAUCAGUUUUUUUAGGGCACUUUACUUUUUGUUUUUGUGUUGUAAUGCAAGUGGAAUCAUUGCUUUAUCUCUGCGAGAUAAUGCACAUACACUUUUUCAUAGGUACAGGCUGUGGUGCAUCUUUACCAUGUCAGACACAGAAGAAACUACACAUGAGGGACCACGUAAGUCAGAACAGUAAAUUCACACACAUAAGGCACAUACGCAUGAGUUUGCGACUUUGGUUUAGUGAACUUAGCAGCAGAUUCAUGCAUGCAGCAUGAUAGUGUGGAAGUCUGCUGCUUUCAACACAGCCUGAAGAAAGUAUGUUGUUUUCAUGCUGCAUGGGCACACAACAAAAAAGAGAAAAGCCACCAUUAUUAAAUUGACGAAAAUUUUCUUUCUUAACUUAAAGUUGUUGCACAACCUGAUCAAUGCAUGUCAGAAGAAUGAAAAGCCUCGCUGGACUUCUUUAUGCAGCUGUGAUGCUCCCUGAUUCAUCACACUUGAGCCUUGCAUUUGCAAAGUCUUAGUUAAGCUACUGGCUCAACAAAGUUAAGCUACUGGCUUCACCACACAGCUGACUGUAUUUUUGGCAUGUUGGUGCCACUGAAGAGGCAUGUUGCCGCUCCAGCUUUUCUGCCACAUUAACGCUUUAUCCUCUCUGCCAGUGGCUCUUGUCUGAGAUGUUCAUCCCAGUAGAUUAUCCAGUGAUCUGUCCUUUCUCUCCAAAUAAUGAAUCAGCUCAUCCUUGAAAGAUAUAUGGGGUCACUAUUAUAUUUCUGUCUCUUCUGUCCAUGCGGGGUACUGACGUUUGGCUGUUUGUGAAGUUAGGCACCUGUCUCCCUCUUCAUGGUGUGCAGUUGCUGUUAGUGAGUAGUGACUGUUCUCAAAAGGGGACCUUGGGGAAGGGAAAGGCCUGAGCACAAUGACCACUUUCAGCUUCAGGCCGAUUAGAGGUCUGAAUACAGGUUGGGUUACCCUCUUUGGAGCGAAAGAGGUCCUGUUUCCCACAGCAACCACAGACACCAGGAGACUAAGGCUUUUUUUUUUUGCAUCCAAAAGAGGCUCAGAAAUGUUUGAAAAUUUUUGAGCAUGAUAACAUUUAGAUCUGAUAACUGUGGGAGAGCUAAAAAAUCCAAUGAACAAAGCAGCUUCACCAAUUCAGUUUUCUCUCUUUCAAAACCACAGUUUUAAUGCCAGUUUUAGUGAUUGCUUAGGUUAUAAACUAAAAGAGCAAUGCAAUAGCAAAGUGCAAGUAUCAAUAGUUGCUUUGGUAGAACAAUUCAUGGAAGAAGUUUGGUUGACAAAUUAACAACAACACAAGCCACCAUCAGGUGAAUGAUGGUCAAUUUCAACCAAAAAAGCAAGAAAUAAAAAAUAAGUAUCAAAAGAAACAAAGUAGUCUAAAACCUGUAUGUACAUUUACUUUAUAGAAGAGCCAUAAAUGCAAAACCAUGAAAAUGUUAUACUAUAGGAAUGUAACUGUCUAUGAACUAAUCAUUUACUUUUUGCUCACUAGCAUUCACAUAGUAGUUUUAUGAUGUGUCAAUUAAGUGACUUUUUUUUGUACAUUUAGGGCAUGAGUCUGCACCUUGAUCACUAAAAGUAUCCCUUGGUGCAGUUUCUUACUGACCAAAAACAAGAUCUAUAAAGUUCCACUUGACUGUUUUCAGAAAAAUAUGCUUUACUUAUAUUUUUGUGGACAGUAAACCUCUCAUUUAUAACAUUUCAGUAUUCAGUAUUUUUUAUUAAAUAAUUGAAUUACAACAGUUUUUUCACUUUCUUCAUUUAAAAAAAAAGACUUAUUUUACCAUUGACAGCAGCACAUACAAGUUCCUUUCAAAAUAAAGUUCACCCUGUGUUAAUGAGACCCUCCUGCUGCAGCAGAUGUAUGUGAAUUAAAAAGAUUAAAAAA